UCAAGUGAAUAAGUGCAUCAGGCGGAUGCCUUGGCGAUGAUAGGCGACGAAGGACGUGUAAGCCUGCGAAAAGCGCGGGGGAGCUGGCAAUAAAGCUAUGAUUCCGCGAUGUCCGAAUGGGGAAACCCACUGCAUUCUGUGCAGUAUCCUAAGUUGAAUACAUAGGCUUAGAGAAGCGAACCCGGAGAACUGAACCAUCUAAGUACCCGGAGGAAAAGAAAUCAACCGAGAUUCCGCAAGUAGUGGCGAGCGAACGCGGAGGAGCCUGUACGUAAUAACUGUCGAGAUAGAAGAACAAGCUGGGAAGCUUGACCAUAGCGGGUGACAGUCCCGUAUUCGAAAUCUCAACAGCGGUACUAAGCGUACGAAAAGUAGGGCGGGACACGUGAAAUCCUGUCUGAAUAUGGGGGGACCAUCCUCCAAGGCUAAAUACUCAUCAUCGACCGAUAGUGAACCAGUACCGUGAGGGAAAGGCGAAAAGAACCCCGGGAGGGGAGUGAAACAGAACCUGAAACCUGAUGCAUACAAACAGUGGGAGCGCCCUAGUGGUGUGACUGCGUACCUUUUGUAUAAUGGGUCAACGACUUACAUUCAGUAGCGAGCUUAACCGGAUAGGGGAGGCGUAGGGAAACCGAGUCUUAAUAGGGCGAUGAGUUGCUGGGUGUAGACCCGAAACCGAGUGAUCUAUCCAUGGUCAGGUUGAAGGUGCCGUAACAGGUACUGGAGGACCGAACCCACGCAUGUUGCAAAAUGCGGGGAUGAGCUGUGGGUAGGGGUGAAAGGCUAAACAAACUCGGAGAUAGCUGGUUCUCCCCGAAAACUAUUUAGGUAGUGCCUCGAGCAAGACACUGAUGGGGGUAAAGCACUGUUAUGGCUAGGGGGUUAUUGCAACUUACCAACCCAUGGCAAACUCAGAAUACCAUCAAGUGGUUCCUCGGGAGACAGACAGCGGGUGCUAACGUCCGUUGUCAAGAGGGAAACAACCCAGACCGCCGGCUAAGGUCCCAAAUGAUAGAUUAAGUGGUAAACGAAGUGGGAAGGCACAGACAGCCAGGAUGUUGGCUUAGAAGCAGCCAUCAUUUAAAGAAAGCGUAAUAGCUCACUGGUCGAGUCGUCCUGCGCGGAAGAUGUAACGGGGCUCAAAUCUAUAACCGAAGCUGCGGAUGCCGGUUUACCGGCAUGGUAGGGGAGCGUUCUGUAGGCUGAUGAAGGUGCAUUGUAAAGUGUGCUGGAGGUAUCAGAAGUGCGAAUGUUGACAUGAGUAGCGAUAAAGCGGGUGAAAAGCCCGCUCGCCGAAAGCCCAAGGUUUCCUACGCAACGUUCAUCGGCGUAGGGUAAGUCGGCCCCUAAGGCGAGGCAGAAAUGCGUAGUCGAUGGGAAACAGGUUAAUAUUCCUGUACUUGAUUCAAAUGCGAUGUGGGGACGGAGAAGGUUAGGUUGGCAAGCUGUUGGAAUAGCUUGUUUAAGCCGGUAGGUGGAAGACUUAGGCAAAUCCGGGUUUUCUUAACACCGAGAAGUGAUGACGAGUGUCUACGGACACGAAGCAACCGAUACCACGCUUCCAGGAAAAGCCACUAAGCUUCAGUUUGAAUCGAACCGUACCGCAAACCGACACAGGUGGGCAGGAUGAGAAUUCUAAGGCGCUUGAGAGAACUCGGGAGAAGGAACUCGGCAAAUUGAUACCGUAACUUCGGGAGAAGGUAUGCCCUCUAAGGUUAAGGACUUGCUCCGUAAGCCCCGGAGGGUCGCAGAGAAUAGGUGGCUGCGACUGUUUAUUAAAAACACAGCACUCUGCCAACACGAAAGUGGACGUAUAGGGUGUGACGCCUGCCCGGUGCCGGAAGGUUAAUUGAAGAUGUGCAAGCAUCGGAUCGAAGCCCCGGUAAACGGCGGCCGUAACUAUAACGGUCCUAAGGUAGCGAAAUUCCUUGUCGGGUAAGUUCCGACCCGCACGAAUGGCGUAACGAUGGCCACACUGUCUCCUCCCGAGACUCAGCGAAGUUGAAGUGGUUGUGAAGAUGCAAUCUACCCGCUGCUAGACGGAGAGACCCCGUGAACCUUUACUGUAGCUUUGCAUUGGACUUUGAAGUCACUUGUGUAGGAUAGGUGGGAGGCUUGGAAGCAGAGACGCCAGUCUCUGUGGAGUCGUCCUUGAAAUACCACCCUGGUGUCUUUGAGGUUCUAACCCAGACCCGUCAUCCGGGUCGGGGACCGUGCAUGGUAGGCAGUUUGACUGGGGCGGUCUCCUCCCAAAGCGUAACGGAGGAGUUCGAAGGUUACCUAGGUCCGGUCGGAAAUCGGACUGAUAGUGCAAUGGCAAAAGGUAGCUUAACUGCGAGACCGACAAGUCGGGCAGGUGCGAAAGCAGGACAUAGUGAUCCGGUGGUUCUGUAUGGAAGGGCCAUCGCUCAACGGAUAAAAGGUACUCCGGGGAUAACAGGCUGAUUCCGCCCAAGAGUUCAUAUCGACGGCGGAGUUUGGCACCUCGAUGUCGGCUCAUCACAUCCUGGGGCUGUAGUCGGUCCCAAGGGUAUGGCUGUUCGCCAUUUAAAGUGGUACGUGAGCUGGGUUUAAAACGUCGUGAGACAGUUUGGUCCCUAUCUGCAGUGGGCGUUGGAAGUUUGACGGGGGCUGCUCCUAGUACGAGAGGACCGGAGUGGACGAACCUCUGGUGUACCGGUUGUAACGCCAGUUGCAUAGCCGGGUAGCUAAGUUCGGAAGAGAUAAGCGCUGAAAGCAUCUAAGCGCGAAACUCGCCUGAAGAUGAGACUUCCCUUGCGGUUUAACCGCACUAAAGGGUCGUUCGAGACCAGGACGUUGAUAGGUGGGGUGUGGAAGCGCGGUAACGCGUGAAGCUAACCCAUACUAAUUGCCCGUGAGGCUUGACU
rnacentral:rRNA from 1 species